UAUGUGAUCGUCUCUCGCAUAUCAAUAAGCGGAGGAAAAGAAACUAACAAGGAUUCCCCUAGUAACGGCGAGUGAAGCGGGAAGAGCUCAAAUUUGAAAUCUUAAAGGGUUUCCCUUACGAAUUGUAGUUUAAAGAAGUGUUUUCUGUUGAGGUUUUGGUAAAAGUUCUUUGGAAUAGGACAUCAUAGAGGGUGAGAAUCCCGUAUUUGACCUUUACUUUCAACUUUGUGAUACACUUUCAAAGAGUCGGAUUGUUUGGGAAUGCAGUCCAAAAUGGGUGGUAAAUUUCAUCUAAAGCUAAAUAUUGGCGAGAGACCGAUAGCGAACAAGUACCGUGAGGGAAAGAUGAAAAGAACUUUGAAAAGAGAGUUAAACAGUACGUGAAAUUGUCAAAAGGGAAGCGUUUGACACCAGUGUUGUUUUUCUGAAAAUCAAUUAAAGAACUGUUUAUGCUAAGCUGUUUAGACUUUAUCAGCUAAUCUGUUUAGUUUUGAGCUUUUCUUUAAUGCACUUUUCAGUUAACAAGUCAACAUCAAUUUCUUUUGCUGUAAAAAAGCUUGAGGAAGGUGGCUUGAGAUUCGUCUUAAGUGUUUAUAGCCUCUUGCCUAUGCAGUCGGAGAGAUUGAGGUCUGCAGCGUAGAUCCUUCGGGGCUAAAUGCAUUUGUGCUAAGUUAUAGCAUUUUAUAGACAACUUGUUGACUAUGAUUUGUCUUGUAGCUUACUCGCUUAUGUUAUUUUACCUACGCUUAGGAUGUUGACGCGCGUGUGUGCGUG
rnacentral:rRNA from 1 species